rnacentral:miRNA from 1 species
CUGCUGGAGGACGCCCGGUGU